GUGCUGACAUUUGAGGCUCUUCUCGACAACAGGGGCACGGCAGAUCUUGUGCUCAGUGGUUCCUGCGCCGCCUGACAGAUCGAGCGAGUGUGAGCGGGCCGGUUCUGAAGAGAGACUUGAGAGACCCGGAGGAGUGUGUGAGAGUGUGUCACCCCCCCCCCCCCACCCCCCAGUUGUCUCUGAGAGGAUAUGGGUCGGUGUGUGCCGCUGUGUGUGCUGUGUGCUCUCCUCGCCGCGUCUCCCCUCAAAGGUAAAGUGUUGCUCUUAUCUACUGGCAUCUAUUGUGGCUUUUAGCAGCACUCAUAAUCUCUGCGCUACAAAGCCAGCACAGCGAAGAACAGACACCUAGAGCAGAUGUGUUACAAUUUGCGGAAACCUCUGGUUAGCUUAUCGGAGAAGUAUGGUUACUAUACUACUGGAGACAGUCCAUGUAGAACCCUUUCCAGGCCCGACUGCUACAAGAACAGCACAAAAGCAGACGAGGAUUUUAGAUGUGAGUGGACUUCAGAGGAGGACACGAGAGGACUUUCAUAUACACUUCACCUGAGGAAAGAAACAGAAAAUGAUACUAAAGAUUUUCCUGUUGGUGAGGAGAAGGGCGUUAUUCUGGAACUGGAGCGUGUGAGUACCUGGAUAGACAUUCUCCUGCAUGUCUGGGUGUCUGCUCAAUGGGCCAACAGUAGCUGCUCCUCCACUAUCAGCACAGUACGACUUGACCAGGCAGUUAAAUAUCCAGCGCCUGAGGUAAGAAUGAGAUCGAGAUCCUCUGGACUGCUGUUCCUGGAGUGGGACAAGCCUGAAGACCGCAGGGGGUCCGACUAUGAAGUCAGAUAUAAGGAGACUGGACACCCUAGCAGCACCUGGUCAUGUGUAAGGCUUCAUGUGGUCCUCUUGUCUUUUAACAAUAAAAGUUUUUGUCAGUUUCUGUCUCUUUGUUUUCCUAUUUUUAAUAAUGAUGUUUUUUUUGUGUUUUUUUCGGUCACUCACGGUAAAGAAAAACUUUACAACAGAAGAUGACAAACCAGAUUCCUUAAACAUGAGCGUGGCGAGGGAAGCUGCCUACAAGCUCCAGGCCCGACGCAGGGCUAAGGAGGUCAGAUACGCAGAAUGGAGUGGUUGGAGCUCACCAAUCUACAUGCCUUUACGUGAGUCUGCCCAACAACAAUAAUAAUUUGAAUUUGAAGAGGGCAAAAUAACAUAAUAAUAAUUUGAAUUGUUUAAAAUUCUCAUUUUAAUUUGAAUAACCUUGUUUGAAGAGAACCUUUAAUGCAGCAGAGACCACAGUUUGAUGAGAAAGUACACUGAAUGAUUGUAUUUUAAAAGAUAACAGAAAGAUAAAAGAAAAGAUAACAGAAAGAUAACAUAAGCACUUCCU
rnacentral:lncRNA from 1 species